GUUACUUCGGUACAUCGGUGACAGGUGGUGCAUGGUUGUCGCCAGCUCGUGUCGUGAGAUGUUGGGUUAAGUCCCGCAACGAGCGCAACCCCUAUUGUUAGUUGCCAUCAUUCAGUUGGGCACUCUAGCGAGACUGCCGGUAAUAAACCGGAGGAAGGUGGGGAUGACGUCAAAUCAUCAUGCCCCUUAUGACCUGGGCUACACACGUGCUACAAUGGUUGGUACAACGAGUUGCGAGUCGGUGACGGCGAGCUAAUCUCUUAAAGCCAAUCUCAGUUCGGAUUGUAGGCUGCAACUCGCCUACAUGAAGUCGGAAUCGCUAGUAAUCGCGGAUCAGCACGCCGCGGUGAAUACGUUCCCGGGCCUU
rnacentral:rRNA from 1 species